rnacentral:rRNA from 1 species
GACGUAGGGCGCGAGCGUUGUCCGGAUUUAUUGGGCGUAAAGAGCUCGUAGGCGGCUUGUCGCGUCGGCUGUGAAAGCCCGUGGCUCAACCAUGUGGUCUGCAGUCGAUACGGGCAGGCUAGAAUUCGGUAGGGGAGACUGGAAUUCCUGGUGUAGCGGUGAAAUGCGCAGAUAUCAGGAGGAACACCGGUGGCGAAGGCGGGUCUCUGGGCCGAUAUUGACGCUGAGGAGCGAAAGCGUGGGGAGCGAACAGG